UACGAAGGGGGCUAGCGUUGCUCGGAAUCACUGGGCGUAAAGGGUGCGUAGGCGGGUUUUUAAGUCAGGGGUGAAAUCCUGGAGCUCAACUCCAGAACUGCCUUUGAUACUGGCGAUCUAGAGUUCGGGAGAGGUGAGUGGAACUGCGAGUGUAGAGGUGAAAUUCGUAGAUAUUCGCAAGAACACCAGUGGCGAAGGCGGCUCACUGGCCCGAUACUGACGCUGAGGCACGAAAGCGUGGGGAGCAAACAGG
rnacentral:rRNA from 1 species